rnacentral:piRNA from 1 species
AUGACUUGCAAGUUCUGCUGGGCAA